GACGAACGCUGGCGGCGUGCCUAAUACAUGCAAGUAGAACGCUGAAGGAGGAGCUUGCUUCUCUGGAUGAGUUGCGAACGGGUGAGUAACGCGUAGGUAACCUGCCUGGUAGCGGGGGAUAACUAUUGGAAACGAUAGCUAAUACCGCAUAACAGUAGAUAUCGCAUGAUAUCUACUUGAAAGUUGCAAUUGCAUCACUACCAGAUGGACCUGCGUUGUAUUAGCUAGUUGGUGAGGUAACGGCUCACCAAGGCGACGAUACAUAGCCGACCUGCGAGGGGGAUCGGCCACACUGGGACUGUGACACGGCCCAGACUCCUACGGGAGGCAGCCGUAGGGCAUCUUCGGCAAUGGACGGAAGUCUGACCGAGCAACGCCGCGUGAGUGAAGAAGGUUUUCGGGUCGUAAAGCUCUGUUGUAAGAGAAGAACGAGUGUGAGAGUGGAAAGUUCACACUGUGACGGUAUCUUAUCAGAAAGAGACGGCUAACUACGUG
rnacentral:rRNA from 1 species